rnacentral:rRNA from 1 species
UCUUGGUCCAUUAGAGGAAGUAAAAGUCGUAACAAGGUUUCCGUAGGUGAACCUGCGGAAGGAUCAUUAUUGAUUGCGAAUUGUUGUCUUCAGUGCUGGCCAGCUCUGGCAAGUGCACGUUGGCGGCUUUUCAUCCAAUACCCCUGUGCACCUUUGGCCUCUUUGCUAGCCUUGGCCAGCAGAGGAUUUUUACACCCACUCGAAUGUAAUGAAAUUAUUGUUGUGCGUAAGCACUAAUGUACAACUUUCAACAACGGAUCUCUUGGCUCUCGCAUCGAUGAAGAACGCAGCGAAAUGCGAUAAGUAAUGUGAAUUGCAGAAUUCAGUGAAUCAUCGAAUCUUUGAACGCACCUUGCACCCUUUGGUAUUCCGAAGGGUAUGCUCGUUUGAGUGUCAUUGUACUCUCACACUUCUGAUCCUUUGGAUUGGGAGCGGUGGACUUGGGUGUUGCUGCUUUGCUGUGGCUCACCUCAAAUGCAGUAGUGCAACUCUUGGUUGGACAUAGUACGGCGUGAUAAGUGUCUUCGCCGGCACCUCGCAAGAGGGUGGCUGAUCAGGGGCUCUGUGCUUCCAACGGUCUUCGGACAACAUUUGACAACUUGACCUCAAAUCGAGUAGGACCACCCGCUGAACUUAAGCAUAUCAAUAAGCGGAGGA